rnacentral:rRNA from 1 species
UGGACUAGAGUAUUGCAGGGGGAGACGGAAUUCCAGGUGUAGCGGUGGAAUGCGUAGAUAUCUGGAAGAACACCAAAGGCGAAGGCAGUCUCCUGGGCAAAUACUGACGCUNNUAUGCGAAAGCGUGGGUAGCAAACAGGAUUAGAUACCCUGGUAGUCCACGCCGUAAACGAUGUCAAUUAGGAGCUUGGGCAAUAGUCUGGGUUCCGCAGCUAACGCAAUAAAUUGACCGCCUGGGGAGU